AUUGAACGCUGGCGGCAUGCCUAACACAUGCAAGUCGAACGGCAGCACAGGGUAGCUUGCUACCUGGGUGGCGAGUGGCGGACGGGUGAGUAAUGCAUCGGAAUCUGCCCCGACGUGGGGGAUAACGUAGGGAAACUUACGCUAAUACCGCAUACGUCCUUAGGGAGAAAGCGGGGGACCGCAAGGCCUCGCGCGUUGGGAUGAGCCGAUGUCCGAUUAGCUUGUUGGUGGGGUAACGGCCUACCAAGGCGACGAUCGGUAGCUGGUCUGAGAGGAUGAUCAGCCACACUGGGACUGAGACACGGCCCAGACUCCUACGGGAGGCAGCAGUGGGGAAUAUUGGACAAUGGGCGCAAGCCUGAUCCAGCAAUGCCGCGUGUGUGAAGAAGGCCUUCGGGUUGUAAAGCACUUUUAUCAGGAACGAAAUGCCGCGGGCUAAUACCCUGCGGAGCUGACGGUACCUGAGGAAUAAGCACCGGCUAACUUCGUG
rnacentral:rRNA from 1 species